rnacentral:rRNA from 1 species
AUGCAAAUGGUCUCUUGCGGUUGCACGGCGGUCAGCAUCAACGGCGAGAUCGGUCCCUUCUUCCCUACCCUAUGUGGGGUGCGCCAAGGCGACCCCUUCUCCCCGUUCCUCUUCAAUAUGGUCGUGGACGCUUUGGCCUCCAUUCUCGAUAAGGCUAAAGCCGCGGGCCACAUCCGAGGUAUUACCCCCCACCUCUUUGGGGGCUCGGGAAUCUCCAUCCUCCAGUAUGCUGACGACACGAUCAUCAUGGUC